UUCACUGUAAGGUCUACUACACCUGUUGUAUUCAGCAUUUCACUGUAAGGUCUACUACACCUGUUGUAUUCAGCAUUUCACUGUAAGGUCUACUACACCUGUUGUAUUCAGCAUUUCACUGUAAGGUCUACUACACCUGUUGUAUUCAGCAUUCCACUGUAAGGUCUACUACACCUGUUGUAUUCAGCAUUUCACUGUAAGGUCUACUACACCUGUUGUAUUCAGCAUUCCACUGUAAGGUCUACUACACCUGUUGUAUUCAGCAUUCCACUGUAAGGUCUACUACACCUGUUGUAUUCAGCAUUUCACUGUAAGGUCUACUACACCUGUUGUAUUCAGCAUUCCACUGUAAGGUCUACUACACCUGGUGUAUUCAGCAUUUCACUGUAAGGUCUACUACACCUGUUGUAUUCAGAAUUUCACUGUAAGGUCUACUACACCUGUUGUAUUCAGUAUUUCACUGUAAGGUCUACUACACCUUUUGUAUUCAGCAUUUCACUGUGAGGUCUACUACACCUGUUGUAUUCAGCAUUUCACUGUGAGGUCU